CAGAUCUAUAUUCUCGCACCCUAAAUUGAAAUGAAAGCAGGCUCUUCUCAGAAGCAUUUAAAAAAUGAAAAUAGAGUUGCAACAAAGUACAUGAUUAAGCAACCUUUUUGUUAUAUGAACUAUGUUUUGAAGAUACCAAUGCUUUCUCAAUUUUUAAAUUGAAAAAAUAAGUGCAUUUCUGAUUGCAACUGAAAUGCCUCUGUGGUUAAAAGUGAGGUCACAAUCUUACUAUCAUGCACCAGCUACUCAGAUGGGGAGAUGAAGGCCAUGUAAAUGGAACAAAACUAAACCUAUAUUCAUGAAUCAAAGAAAACUUUUUCAGCUACUUCAGCCUUGUUGACAGGAUCGGGCUUCCUAUCAAAACAACAUGCUAUUUUGUCAAAUGUCACUGAGUCAUAUUCAGCUCACUUUCACCAGCUAAGAAGUUUCCUGCUAU
ensembl:lncRNA